UGGAUUAGUGGCCAGUUUUCGGUUGAACUAGUUGGACCGGCCGGUCCAAUUUUUAAAACUUUGAUUUUUUUUCACUUUUUUUUUAAGUACUCAGCAAAGUUACACACUUAUACCACGCCACCUCGGAACCACUGUCUAUUUGUUAACUUUCCAAAAUAUUCAGAUUAUUGUCGUUCAGAGAAAAAUUUUCCCUUUUUGUUACUGCAAAUUGCUAUUGGAUCCAACAGACCCAUUUCACUUUAACACUUUCUCUCUCUCUCUCUCUCUGGGGGAUUAAGCUCUUCUUGUUAUCCCACAAGAUCUGAUUGCAAUUGCUCGCUUUUCUAACUCUAUUCAACUAGUUUCAUAAUCAGGACUGGUGGGCAAGUGGAUGCAAAACGGGAUGGUAGAAUGCAGUGUUUGCCAUUCAAAACUGUUGUCCCCAACUUCUAGAACUGUUUCAAGGGCAUACGACCGGCAUAGAACUGAUGUUUCCUCAAAGAGUCGAGUCUUGAACAUCCUUUUGGUUGUUGGAGAUUGCAUCUUGGUUGGUUUGCAGCCUAUAUUGGUCUAUAUGUCCAAGGUGGAUGGGAAAUUCAUGUUUAGUCCUAUUAGUGUUAACUUUUUGACAGAGGCAGCAAAAGUUAUUUUUGCUAUUGUUAUGCUUUUGAUCCAGGGUCGACGUAAGAAAGUUGGUGAGAAAUCUCUCCUCUCUGUGCCUACAUUUGUACAGGCAGCUCAAAAUAAUGUGCUUCUCGCCGUUCCCGCUCUCCUUUAUGCUAUUAAUAAUUAUUUAAAGUUCAUUAUGCAGCUCUAUUUUAAUCCUGCAACUGUGAAGAUGCUAAGCAAUUUAAAGGUUUUGGUAAUUGCCAUUUUGUUGAAAAUAAUCAUGAAGCGGCAGUUUUCUAUUAUUCAGUGGGAGGCUCUUGCUCUGUUGCUCAUUGGAAUUAGUGUCAAUCAGCUGAAAUCUCUGCCUGAGGGCACCACUGCUUUAGGUCUUCCAGUUGAUACAGGAGCAUACUUAUACACAUUGAUUUUUGUCACUGUUCCAUCGAUGGCAUCAGUCUUCAAUGAGUAUGCUUUGAAGAGUCAAUUUGAGACUAGCAUUUACCUUCAGAACUUGUUUCUAUAUGGUUAUGGUGCCAUGUUCAACUUCCUAGCUAUUCUUGGAAUUGCCAUUUUCAAAGGUCCCAGCAGCUUGGAUAUACUACAAGGACAUUCCAAGGCUACCAUGCUUUUAAUUUGCAACAAUGCAGCUCAAGGGAUUUUAUCAUCAUUCUUUUUCAAAUAUGCAGACUUGAAAGUUGGCAGGCUAAGGAGGUCUAUCAUCGUUCCUGAAGGCAAGGCAGUGUGGUUGGAAGGGUUUUGGGCUUGAACUGUGACGGAUGUUUGAUCCAAAGUAACAUGCGUUGGGGGUCUCAGAGAUGAUAUGUCAAAGAGUAUGGUUAAUAAACAUCAGCCUAUUGUCAGUGAUAAAAAGACAAGAGUAGGAUGGGGGUAUUAGAGGUGUCAAAACCUGCAACGGUGGUGGUGGGCAGCAAUAUUGGUGUUAAAUUUGGUCUGGAAGCCGUGAGAGUUGGAGAUGGGCGCUUUAAAGAGAAACCUAAUUUAGGGGCAAAAAUCACUAAAGGAAUUAAGAAAAGAUUUCCAUUACCGUUUGGUUUGAAUUCAAAAGAUUCUGAUAAUGUAAAAUUGUAAGAAUUUAAGGAGAAAGAGGAGAUUUUUCAGGUUGUUAGAGAAAUGGAAGGAGAUAAAUCUUUAGGUCCGGAUGGUUUCUCUAUGGCUUUUUAUCACCAUUGCUGGAGAGUAGUGGAGAAAGACGUUUUAGCUGUCUUUGAAGAGUUUUAUCAACAUUGUAAAUUUGAAAAAUUUCUCAAUACUACUUUCAUUGCCUUAAUUCCAAAAAAGAAUGAUGCCUCCAAUGUCAGAGAUUUCUAGCCUAUCAGUUUGUGGGGAGUAUAAAAUCUUGGCUAAGAUUUUGGCAAAUCGUUUGAGAGUGGUGUUAGAUUAGUUGAUAUCUAAAUCUUAGAAUAGCUUUGUGGGCAGAAUACAAAUCUUUGACUCGGUUCUUAUUGAAAAUGAAUGUGUUGAUAGUUGACUGAAGAGUGGGUUUCUAGGGGUCAUCUGUAAACUCGAAUUUGAGAAAGCUUAUGAUCAUGUGAAUUGGGAGGCUCUCCUGGAAUUUUUUGAAGAGAAUGGGCUUUGGGGAGAAGUGGUGUAAGUGGAUUCGAACUUGUAUAUCCACGGUUCAAUUUUCUGUACUUGAUCAAUGGGUCUCCAAUUGAUUUUUUUGGUAGUUCUAGGGGAUUGAGACAAGGGGACCUGCUCUCCUACGUUGUUUUUGAUCAUGAUGGAGGUUUUUAGUAGGAUGUUGAAGAGAAUGGAGGGUGCUGGCUUACUUCAUAGUUUCAAGGCUGAUGGUAGGUAGGGCGGUGGAGAAUGUGUUUCACAUCUCCUGUUUGCAGAUGAUAUUAUUCUUUUUUGUGAUGCAGAUGUGGAGCAAAUCCUUCAUGUUCGGAUGCUACUACUUUGUUUUCAGGUAGUAGCAAACUUGAAGGUUAAUGUGCAGGAGAGUGAAAUGGUUUCAUUAGGGGAGAUAAAUAAUGUGCAUGCUUUGGCUAAGAUUUUGGGCUGCAAGAUUGAAACUUUGCCCAUGUCUUAUCCUGGCAUGCUGUUGGGGGCUUCUCAUAAUCUCCUUCAAUUUGGAAUCCUAUCCUGGAAAAAAUUAAGCGAAAGUUGGCUGGGUGGAAGAAGUUGUAUUUGUCAAAAGGUGGUAGAUUAACGUUGCUCAAGGAUACAAUUUUGAAAAAAUAUUCCUCAACUGUUGCAACAAUUUUUACAGGAAUAGCAUCUGCUGCACUGUUUGGUCAUGCACUGACUAUCAACUUUAUUUUAGGAAUCUCUAUUGUGUUCAUUUCUAUGCAUCAGUUCUUUUCACCACUCUCAAAGAUUAAGGACGAACCACAGAAUGUUAAUUUUGAAAUGAUCGACAAUCAGAACAACCAAAGGUCAAAGGAUACAUCAUUUGUAAAUAUGGCAGCUGGAGCAAAUGAGGAUGCAAGCCACCGUGUUGGAUGUGAUGAGAAAGCGCCGCUUCUUCCCCACUAAGGAAGUUGGACUACAUAUUCGUUUGGCUGGAUUCAUCAGACAGGAGAGAAGAUGGCACUGGUUUAGUAACUCAAUAGAAUAAAAUUUAUAUAUAAAGAAAAUUGAUUACUUCUUUUGGGGACUUCCUUUCUUCAUCUCUCUUGGGAUCCACCCCGAAACUUUGUUCAGCCUCUAGUAACCUGUUUUCGAAAUAUUAAGGCCUUUGAGCUAGUCAAGAUCUACCAUAAAUGAAAGCUACAAUUACCGAAUGGUAGAAAUUUUGUAUUCAUCCUCUUUCUCGGUAGAGAAAACUAUAUAUUCCUUUUUAUACAUGUUCAUAUAUGUUUUUCUACCUUUAUGUCCUUGUUGUAUGAGGACUACUGUUGCCCUGUAUUGUACACCUCCUGCAGAUAAGUAAAUGAAAAGAUCUAGCAAUUUUCUCUCUGGAAA